rnacentral:rRNA from 1 species
CUACGGGGGGCAGCAGUCACGGAAACUUUACAAUGCGCGAAAGCGUGAUAAGGGUAUCCCAAGUGCUUUGCUUAUUGUAAGGCUUUUGCCAAGUGUAAAGAGCUUGGCGAAUAAGUGGUGGGUAAGACUGGUGCCAGCCGCCGCGGUAACACCAGCGCCACAAGUGGUAACCACGUUUAUUGGGCCUAAAGCGUUCGUAGCCGGUUUGAUAAGUUUCUUGUGCAAUUGUUUGGCCUAACCAAACAACGUGCAAGAAAUACUGUCUAACUUGGGACCGGGAGGAGUUAGAGGUAUUCCAUGGGGAGCGGUAAAAUGCUAUAAUCCUUGGAGGACCACCAAUGGCGAAGGCUUCUAACUAGAACGGAUCCGACGGUCAGGAACGAAGGCUAGGGGAGCAAAACGGAUUAGAUACCCGUGUAGUC